CAGCAGCCACGGGAAUACAGAGGAUGCAAGCGUUAUCCGGAAUGAUUGGGCGUAAAGCGUCUGUAGGUGGCUUUUCAAGUCCGCCGUCAAAUCCCAGGGCUCAACCCUGGACAGGCGGUGGAAACUACCAAGCUAGAGUACGGUAGGGGCAGAGGGAAUUUCCGGUGGAGCGGUGAAAUGCGUUGAGAUCGAAAAGAACACCAACGACGAAAGCACUCUGCUGGGUCGACACUGACACUGAGAGACGAAAGCUAGGGGAGCAAAUGGGAUUAGAUACCCCGGUAGUCCCUGUCUCUUAUAA
rnacentral:rRNA from 1 species